rnacentral:rRNA from 1 species
ACCUACCUAUAAGACUGGGAUAACUUCGGGAAACCGGAGCUAAUACCGGAUAAUAUAUUGAACCGCAUGGUUCAAUAGUGAAAGACGGUUUUGCUGUCACUUAUAGAUGGAUCCGCGCCGCAUUAGCUAGUUGGUAAGGUAACGGCUUACCAAGGCAACGAUGCGUAGCCGACCUGAGAGGGUGAUCGGCCACACUGGAACUGAGACACGGUCCAGACUCCUACGGGAGGCAGCAGUAGGGAAUCUUCCGCAAUGGGCGAAAGCCUGACGGAGCAACGCCGCGUGAGUGAUGAAGGUCUUCGGAUCGUAAAACUCUGUUAUUAGGGAAGAACAAAUGUGUAAGUAACUAUGCACGUCUUGACGGUACCUAAUCAGAAAGCCACGGCUAACUACGUGCCAGCAGCCGCGGUAAUACGUAGGUGGCAAGCGUUAUCCGGAAUUAUUGGGCGUAAAGCGCGCGUAGGCGGUUUUUUAAGUCUGAUGUGAAAGCCCACGGCUCAACCGUGGAGGGUCAUUGGAAACUGGAAAACUUGAGUGCAGAAGAGGAAAGUGGAAUUCCAUGUGUAGCGGUGAAAUGCGCAGAGAUAUGGAGGAACACCAGUGGCGAAGGCGACUUUCUGGUCUGUAACUGACGCUGAUGUGCGAAAGCGUGGGGAUCAAACAGGAUUAGAUACCCUGGUAGUCCACGCCGUACACGAUGAGUGCUAAGUGUUAGGGGGUUUCCGCGCCUUAGUGCUGCAGCUAACGCAUUAAGCACUCCGCCUGGGGAGUACGACCGCAAGGUUGAAACUCAAAGGAAUUGACGGGGACCCGCACAAGCGGUGGAACAUGUGGUUUAAUUCGAAGCAACGCGAAGAACCUUACCAAAUCUUGACAUCCUCUGACCCCUCUAGAGAUAGAGUUUUCCCCUUCGGGGGACAGAGUGACAGGUGGUGCAUGGUUGUCGUCAGCUCGUGUCGUGAGAUGUUGGGUUAAGUCCCGCAACGAGCGCAACCCUUAAGCUUAGUUGCCAUCAUUAAGUUGGGCACUCUAAGUUGACUGCCGGUGACA